GCCGCUAUUACCGGAUACCAAAAUUGUCGAAGCAUUUAAUCUUCUCGAAAUACAAGCAGCUGCUCUAAGCAAGGAGAACUUUUCGCCCUUUUUAAAAUAUUAUAAAAAACAGUGGCUUAUAAAGGAAGGACCUAAAAAUAUUUCAGUUUUUAAACGUUCGACGCGGACCACAGGCAUACAAUUUGAAUUUGGGCAACAAAAUACGAGCAAAAGGGCACUUUUUUAAAUUUGUUGAAUGCAUCAUAGACGCCGAAUAUGAAAAAAGUCGGGAGUUCGCUCUGCUUUUUCAAAACGGUGGUAUAGGCAAUCAUACGCAACCAAAGCAGCUUCGAGACCGUGCUCAAAAAAUUAUGAACUGUAUGGAGAUGUUCGAGAAAGGCGAAAUCGAUAUUCAGGUGUUCUUGGCACGGACUGUCGGUCUAAAUGAAACAUUUUCAAAACAAGAUCUUUUUUCUGGAAUGUGUUCCGACCUAAACUCUUCCACAUCAUCGUCAUCAAGUUCAUCAAAUUUAAGCCAACUCUCGGAUUCGUUAUUUAUACAACAAAAUCCUUGUAAUGUAUGCUUAAUGAAUCCGAAAUCUGUAAUGCUUCGCCCCUGUAACCAUGUCAACAUAUGUAGUACAUGCUGGGACCAACUUGUCGAUAACCACGAACAAAAUGGAAUUGAAACUAAUCCCA